rnacentral:lncRNA from 10 species
CUGGCAGUCUGCAUCAUUUCGCCACAGUGUGAAACCAUUGGCUGAUGUAUAAAGUGGAAGCCCCAGGAACCUCUCAAGGCCCAGCUUCAGCCUCACCUUCCCUGUGGUCUUCUUCAAGCAGACCCAUACCAAGCUCUCUGUGCUUUGGAAACUGCCAGUGAGGUGAAGUGGGGAGGCAUCGGAGCGACAGCCACGUUGUAUGCCUGCUGCACGAGCCAGACCGCAGGACAAUACUCAAUGAGAGGCACCAACAUCCAUCCUGGCUGAGCUGAUGAUGGUGAGAGGCCACAGAGCCAUGAAAAUGACUUGGAGCAGCCUCCAUGUAUUCCUCAGGGUUGAAUCAUUGUGUGCACCACAGAGCAUUUGCUUUGUAAAAAAGCUAACACUGUGAAAAAUGGGGUAGGCACUUCCUGUUUUGACCAGGAACAAAUGCAAACCAGACCCUGCUCCUCUCACCAGGCAGAGCUUGCUCUUUCAAUUCAGAGAUAUCUUCAAGGACCCAAUUAUGCUGUGGUGCGGAAUGGAGCAUGUAUGUAACUGAGGUUCCUGCCAAAGACAUCAUCUCCUGGCUGAAUGGCAAGACUGGCCAGGACACCAGGAAACUGAGACUGAUUGGACACACAAGAAUGUGAGCUGGUUCCCUCGGCAUAGUCUCAGCUCUGAGACGUCUCUUCUCCAUCCUAGCCCU